GAAGAGAAGAUGAUGAUCCAGCCCCUAUGUCGCAUGGGGACAUAGCAUUCAAAGAUAGUUAGUGGUUGGAGUGCUAGCACAUAACUUAAGGAUAAUGGUAAAAUAGCAUCAUCAAUCAACAACAAGUCAAUAUCAUAUUCAUCCAUAUUCAUUACCUUGUCCAUACAUAUAGGUUUAUCAUAUUUCAAACAAAUAAACAAGUCUUAACAACAUUCCCAAGCACUAAAUCAUA
rnacentral:lncRNA from 1 species